rnacentral:lncRNA from 1 species
CUUUGCCUUGUGUAGUAUAGCUCACUAGUGUAGCUUGUAGUGACAUAGCUCUUGUGUGUCUUGUAAUCAUAUCAACUAGAAUGGUUGAAUAGGUGGCUUGCGAACACCCCAUUAGAGCUAGAGCAAAAAGCUUUGCUUUGUUAUUUAUUAACCUCUUGCUCUAGUGAGUUUGUAGAUUUUUUAAAUAGGCUAUUCACCCCCCUCUAGCCAUAUUUGGACAUUUCAACUACUCCCUCCACCCCAAAUUAUACGAUAUUCCAAGAAUCUUAUAGAGUCAAAACAUAUCAUGUUUGACCAAAAUUUAUAUAAUAAAAUAAUAAUAUUUAUUAUACCAACUAAAUAUUAUUAGAUUCUUUAUUAAUUAUAUUUUCGUAGUAUACCUAUUUAAUGUCAAAAUCUUUGUAAUUUUCUCUAUAAUUUUAGCAAACUUGAGAUACUUUGACUCUUCAAAAUUCUUGGAACUUCUUAUAAUUUGGAAUGGAGGGAGUAUUUAAAACCUGUGUCUGCAGUAAUUAAUAGUCUACAUUUUAUUUUAUAUACCAGUGAUGCACUCGUAAUUAACAUGAUUAUUGAUAUAUUAUUCACAAAUUAUAUAUACUUUAGUUGUUGUUUACAUUUAUAGUUUGUAGUAGUACUUAUUUUUUGAUCUUGCAUUAUACAUCCUAUUUUUAAACCAUCGAUAAUGUGGAUGUAUACUUAUGGACAACUAAUUAAAUUGAAUUUUAUCAUAUACUGGAAAAGUUCGAGUUCCAAACCUCAAAGAAGAGACAUCAUCCAGCUACCAAAUUACAUUCAAGAGAAAAGAAAGAGAGUUUAACAUUUUAUUAACCAAUAAAAAAUCUAAAAGGUCAGCCAUAGGAAGCAAAGAACUACAUUGCUCUAGUCUCUAGAAGCUAGCGUGCCGAGCUCAAAAAAAAAAAAAAAGGAGCUAGCGUGCCGAAGUUAACCAAUCGUUGUUGUCAUCAAUGUACUGCAACAGAGCCCAAGAUCAAAGUCAGUAUGCUCCCCUUAAGGCCUGUUUAGUUUUCAGAAAAUUUUGUAAAAUUUUUCAUAUUUCUCGUCAUAUCGAAUCUUGCGACACAUGCAUAAAACAUUAAAUAUAAAAAAGAUAAUUAAUUACAUAGUUUGUCUGUAAUUUACGAGACGAAUCUUUUAAGCUUAUUCAGUCUAUGAUUGAACAAUAUUUGUCACAUACAAACAAAAGUACUACAGUGCCCAUUGCUUAAAAUAUUUUGGAACUAAACAAGGCCUAAAAGCACCAGAAAAUAGUUUCUAUUCAGCCAUUGCUAAACGCAAAAUCAUUCCUGCUAAGCCAAAUUGCCUAGCAAACUGUUGCAGCUCUUGUCAAUAACAAAGAUUUAAGACUCUGACCACUUAUUUUACACCAAGAAUUAAACAAAGGUUCAAUGCCUAAUACAUGAGUACCUUGCCUGCCAUAGGGCUUUGGCAUAAUAAAACUAAAGGUGUUGGAUAGUCUCUGACGUACUACAAAAGCAACAAAGUGUACUAAUAGUUUCUCCUAACCAAAUUAUCCUGGUAAAAAUGACCCC